GCAGCUUUUUAAAAAAGAAAAAAAAAAUGGGUGGUUAUUUUUUUUUUCCUUCUGCUCUGUUGUGGCCAGGUUAGCCCAACCCAGACUGUGUGAGCUUUCUCAGAAAAGUCACCUGCUGUUUCAGAACUUUCUGGUCUCCUGUGGUUACAAACCUGCUUGGAUUGUUUUGCUAUGUUUAAAACUUGGAUCUGUGUGGGAUCUCACAGGACCUCUGUGUGGUCAUUGAAGGAAAGGAACGAGAAACUAGGCCUCCUAGCUGCGGGAAACCAAGCCUCAUAUUCUCAUCACAGAUGUCCUACUCCUUGGAAGGCCUAUGUAUUCCACAGAAUUUUUUAAGAAUUGAAUGUGAAAUAUUUACAAAAAUAAGUAGCAUAUAAAUAAAAGUUUCUAGUGGUAGUAGUUGGACAUGGAAAAGGGUAUAGCAAUUUCAAAUUUUUCACAAAUUAAAUGAAAAUUCUUAUUCUUUCAGAAAGGGGUGAAUUCUUUCUACUAACUGCUGCAUGUGAGCACGCCAUGGUAUAUAAAGUGAGGAGCGCUGUCAAAUGAUGUCAUCCCUGGAUAGUGACGGCUUUCAACCAUUACCAAACUGCACUUCAGAGUGUAUCAGAUUAUACUCCCACCCUAAAGUACGUCGCAGCACUUGUUUCAACGUCAUCAGACUGUUUUGAUUUGAGUUUAUUUCGUCAUUGGAGAUCAUGAUUACCUGCCUUGAAAAAAGAAUCUGUAGCUGGUUGGACCUGAACUUCUUACAGGCAGAGUGAGAAUAUUUUUGUUCCCAAGGAAGAAAAGGGAAGCCCCAUAUUGUGUUUUGGGAGCUGCAUACAUUGGGAAGGUUCCUUCCAGGACUUGAUUUGGUGCUCAAAGAAUAGGAUAAUGAAGGAUGAGCCAAGUGGCGUAACAUACACCAAGAAUCUAUGGAACAUCAUCUUCUGCUACCAAUGGAGCUGACAGAAAAAAUACAUUGAGAAAGCAUCCUGGUCCCUCUCCAGAGUCCGAUGAAUUACAAGGGAUGGUGGUUGACGAGUGUAGAACCAUAUCUAUAUCGUUCUUCAUUGUUUCCACUACAUAGCACAGUGCCUGGUAUAUGAUGUCUAAUGAUGCUCUGUCCUUGAGCCACUAGUCUUAUUUAGAUUUGAAACGCGUGCUAAUCGUCAAAAACGUGUCAGGCUUAACCUGGAAGACAAAAGGCGGAUGCAGAGGACUUGCAUUUUCCCGUUUAUUUGAGGAUUUUUUUGCUCUCGUGCUUCACAGUUGUUAUAAUUUAGGAGUUCAAAAGUAGAGGACCAAAACAGGAAGUUGAGAGUCCAAGUCAAGACUGGAGAACUGAUCAAUUACUUUGGUCCCCGCAGCCUCUCCAAACCCGUCUUCUCUACAGAAAUCACUCUGGAGACCCAGGUUUUCAUCUCAGCUCUAGCGUAGCCUGUGCUUUGA